GGGAGCUGCUGUCUAGAAGGAAAAGCUGGCAGAACACCAGCAAAGACAGCCUCUUGAGGGUGGUCUUCAAAAGAUGCAGCAGGAUGCAAUGGCAGUUGACAAUGGGAUAACUGUUGGUUGUGAGAACCCUAAUCCUCUACCACAGGGAGGAGAAAGCUGACACCAAGUCCAACCCACAUCAACACGGGGGUGGGACAACUGUGAGGGGGCCAAGGCUGUAGUCCAGAAGAAAGGUGGAUGAAACUGGGGAAAGAGCAGUAGCACAGGGAGAUGGGGGAGGAUGGGGUAAUUCAGAAUUUCCCUUUUUGAGAGUGGCAUCAACACCAUGUUGAAGUAGGAGUUCUCCGGCUUCUCUCCUCCCCAACAGAAUUUCAACUAGCAACAAUCCCGUGGCAAGUUUACCAUCCUGAAUAUCCCAGAACUUGGAGUGAAGCUUUGCAUCCCCUGGGAUGGCAGAGCCAAGAAAAACCAUGAGGACGGUAAGGGGAUGGCUGCUCUCUGACCACGCCACUCCUCCCCAAGCCCGCACAGUGCCACACGCAGAGGAGUCCCUGGAUGCUCGGUUUCUCCAGUGGACACAGUGGAUGGGAGGUGGGCGUUCGGCUUCCCCACCAGUCUGAGACUUCACAGGAGACUCACUCUAGUCUUUUCCCGCAGGAAGCACUGUGAGUACCGGCAGGGUCAGCCCAACAAGGGUCAGUAAGAACUUCCCUUUUCAAAAGAUAAAGCAGUUCACAUAGAGAGCUGUGGUGGACUCUUUCUGCUGCCUGCCCAACAGACUUCUGCACAUUUCCUAAGGACAGAACCGCAUUUUUGUACUAGAGCAGAGAUUCCGUGACAUCAGGAGAAGAGGCCCUUCCCCCAGUCCCAGGAGCCGAUAAACUCAUUCUUCUUUGCAAUUGUACAAUGACAUGCACAGGGAAGUCUUCCUUUCCAGGAUAUAAAGCACCAUUAGGAGAAAGUUUUUGGCUUGCCUUGGCCCUUAUUUUUUGUUUGGGGGAUGUUGUGUGAGACAACAUCAUUCCUGAGCUGUGGCAGCCAUCUUACCAUCAUGAGGAAACAGCCACAGGGAUAAAAAGCCAAUCCUCUGAGGACCUGGAAGAAAGGAAAGAACCUGGCUCCCAAGGCAUCACUGAGACGCAAAUCCACAAUGGGUGAUUUAUUCACAUGGGUCAAAAUUCAAAAAGUAUCAAAGAGUAAACAGUGAAAUGUCUCUCUUUCACUCCUAUCCCCCAACCACCAAGGUCCCUGCCCUGGAAGCAACCAAUGUUACUGUUUCUGAUGCUUUUCCAGAGUGAAUCUGUGAAUACCACGGACAGUCUCACAUGUCAAUGCAGAUGUUGUGACUUCAAGUUUACG